GCGGGCUUUGCCAACUUUCACGGCGAGGUGGCCGAUCAUGACUAUGCUGGCAACACCAGUGAGAACGACAAACCCAUAUUCUUUAGACAGCACAACCAUCCUGGCACUGAUCUGCAAGAGGAAAAUGCAUAGCCUACUAUAGGACAAUGAUCCAACACCUCCAGGCUGUGUAAGGGCUAUGUAAGGGCUACCAAGAAAGAGUGAUGGAGUGCUGCCUCAGAUGACCUGGCCUCCACAAUCACCCGACCUCAACCCAAUUGAGAUGAUUUGAGAUGAGUUGGACCGCAUAGUGAAGGAAAAGCAGCCAACAAGUUCUCAGCAUAUGUGGGAACUCAUUCAAGACUGUUGGAAAAUCAUUCCUCAUGAAGCUGGUUGAGAGAAUGCAAAGAGUGUGCAAAGCUGUCACCGAUUUGUUUAACACUUUUUUUGGUUACUACACGAUUCUAUGUGUGUUAUUUCAUUUUCUACAAUGUAGAAAAUAGUACAAAUAAAGAAAACCCUUGAAUGACUAGGUGUGUCCAAACUUUUGGCUGGUACUGAUUGACUCCAUUGUCUAUAUGGAAUGUUGCCAUAUUGGCAGUUAAUUUGAAAAAUUAUUGGAAUGUUUCCACUUAAACUGGCUACGAAUCUAGCUGAUCUGCACAGUAGGCUAUGAUGAUUAUCUUAACAUUCUUUGUUGUACACAAUACCUCAUCACACCACUGGGUGACCAUGGGUGACCAAGUCUCUGACCAAAAUGCUGACAUGUUAUACUGUGAUAAGAACUUUCAUGUCCAUUUUAGUAUUCUAAUUCCUAAUUGUAUUCUUAAUUAUUCUCAAUAUAAAAUGUAAACAACUGAAUGCAUACAUUCAAUGUGCAUUCUAUCUGUUGAUCAAAGGGAAUGGAAUCCUGUUUUACAAGAGGUAGUGAUUUAACAAUACUACCACACUAGAUGGCACUAUAUUCUCAGUAAACGUAAACAGCAGCCAAAGUACACUUUCUGAAUGGCAGAAGCUUUGAGACUGGUCUUGAAAGGAUUGUGACUAUCUCCUUAUGAGAAGUGUGAAUAAAUGCACUAAUAUUUUUGA